GACGAACGCUGGCGGCGUGCCUAAUACAUGCAAGUCGAACGCUUCUUUCCUCCCGAGUGCUUGCACUCAAUUGGAAAGAGGAGUGGCGGACGGGUGAGUAACACGUGGGUAACCUACCCAUCAGAGGGGGAUAACACUUGGAAACAGGUGCUAAUACCGCAUAACAGUUUAUGCCGCAUGGCAUAAGAGUGAAAGGCGCUUUCGGGUGUCGCUGAUGGAUGGACCCGCGGUGCAUUAGCUAGUUGGUGAGGUAACGGCUCACCAAGGCCACGAUGCAUAGCCGACCUGAGAGGGUGAUCGGCCACACUGGGACUGAGACACGGCCCAGACUCCUACGGGAGGCAGCAGUAGGGAAUCUUCGGCAAUGGACGAAAGUCUGACCGAGCAACGCCGCGUGAGUGAAGAAGGUUUUCGGAUCGUAAAACUCUGUUGUUAGAGAAGAACAAGGACGUUAGU
rnacentral:rRNA from 1 species